GUUGGAGCCCAAAAGUUUCUUUGCCAAUAUAUGUAGGAGUCAGUGACUGAAACGACUUUUGAAGUCAUUCAUCUUGUUGGUGAGGAAACCACUCCUAACCUGUUUCAUGGGAGACUGAAGUCAGCAGGAGGAGGUGUCCUCACAAGCUACAGAUAGCCAUUUGCUCUCACUGGCAUCACUGUUGCUGAACUUCAGUUGCCUUUGCUAUAGAAGCCCAUACCAUCAUAGAGGAGCCUUCUUCAGACCGGAAAAGUUAGGUUUGGAAACCUAAGUUUUGAAAAUGGAAAUACAUGAAAAAUACAUGAAAAUUUGGAAGUCCGCUUUGCUUGCUUUCAAGCAGCUCAUCCUUAAAAUUGCA